GAGCUUAUGAUGAAAAAAAAUAAUUAUCUUAGCGGAUUUCAGUGAGAUUUUAAUCAAUGAUCUGAUUGUUACACACACUGAGGCUC